UUUUCAACUUUUUGUACUGAGGAAUUACAACCGUGUUUCGUGGUCUGCUACCACAACAGCUCCUUUAUAGGAUCCAGUUAGCUCAAGACAUCAUCAGGAGGAACCACGUCCGGUUUCCGCCCCUACUCUUCUACCGCUUUGACGUGGCGGGGCCCCCCCUUUCGAAGAUGUGUUCAGCUCUGGUGUUGGGUGCAUGUCUUCUUCUUCUUUCUUCUGUUCCCUGGCCUCU